UACGUAGGAUGCAAGCGUUGUCCGGAAUUAUUGGGCGUAAAGAGCUCGUAGGCAGCUUGUCGCGUCGGCUGUGAAAACCUAAGGCUCAACCCCGGGCCUGCAGCCGAUACAGGCAAGCUAGAAUUCGGUAGGGGAGACUAAAAUUCCUAGUGUAGCGGUGAAAUACGCAGAUAUCAAGAAGAACACCAGUGGCGAAGACGAGUCUCUGGGCCGAAAUUAACGCUGAGGAGCGAAAGCGUGGAAAGCAAACAGG
rnacentral:rRNA from 1 species